rnacentral:rRNA from 1 species
CAGAGGGUACAAACGUUGCUCGGAAUCACUGGGCGUAAAGCGCGCGUAGGUGGUUUGUUAAGUUGGAUGUGAAAGCCCCGGGCUCAACCUGGGAACUGCAUCCAAAACUGGCAAGCUAGAGUACGGUAGAGGGUGGUGGAAUUUCCUGUGUAGCGGUGAAAUGCGUAGAUAUAGGAAGGAACACCAGUGGCGAAGGCGACCACCUGGACUGAUACUGACACUGAGGCGCGAGAGCGUGGGGAGCAAACAGG